ACUUAAAUUGAAGAGUUUGAUCAUGGCUCAGAUUGAACGCUGGCGGCAGGCCUAACACAUGCAAGUCGAACGGUAGCACAGAGAGCUUGCUCUCGGGUGACGAGUGGCGGACGGGUGAGUAAUGUCUGGGAAACUGCCUGAUGGAGGGGGAUAACUACUGGAAACGGUAGCUAAUACCGCAUAACGUCGCAAGACCAAAGAGGGGGACCUUCGGGCCUCUUGCCAUCAGAUGUGCCCAGAUGGGAUUAGCUAGUAGGUGGGGUAACGGCUCACCUAGGCGACGAUCCCUAGCUGGUCUGAGAGGAUGACCAGCCACACUGGAACUGAGACACGGUCCAGACUCCUACGGGAGGCAGCAGUGGGGAAUAUUGCACAAUGGGCGCAAGCCUGAUGCAGCCAUGCCGCGUGUAUGAAGAAGGCCUUCGGGUUGUAAAGUACUUUCAGCGGGGAGGAAGGUGUUGCGGUUAAUAACCGCAGCAAUUGACGUUACCCGCAGAAGAAGCACCGGCUAACUCCGUGCCAGCAGCCGCGGUAAUACGGAGGGUGCAAGCGUUAAUCGGAAUUACUGGGCGUAAAGCGCACGCAGGCGGUCUGUCAAGUCGGAUGUGAAAUCCCCGGGCUCAACCUGGGAACUGCAUUCGAAACUGGCAGGCUAGAGUCUUGUAGAGGGGGGUAGAAUUCCAGGUGUAGCGGUGAAAUGCGUAGAGAUCUGGAGGAAUACCGGUGGCGAAGGCGGCCCCCUGGACAAAGACUGACGCUCAGGUGCGAAAGCGUGGGGAGCAAACAGGAUUAGAUACCCUGGUAGUCCACGCCGUAAACGAUGUCGACUUGGAGGUUGUUCCCUUGAGGAGUGGCUUCCGGAGCUAACGCGUUAAGUCGACCGCCUGGGGAGUACGGCCGCAAGGUUAAAACUCAAAUGAAUUGACGGGGGCCCGCACAAGCGGUGGAGCAUGUGGUUUAAUUCGAUGCAACGCGAAGAACCUUACCUACUCUUGACAUCCAGAGAACUUAGCAGAGAUGCUUUGGUGCCUUCGGGAACUCUGAGACAGGUGCUGCAUGGCUGUCGUCAGCUCGUGUUGUGAAAUGUUGGGUUAAGUCCCGCAACGAGCGCAACCCUUAUCCUUUGUUGCCAGCGGUUAGGCCGGGAACUCAAAGGAGACUGCCAGUGAUAAACUGGAGGAAGGUGGGGAUGACGUCAAGUCAUCAUGGCCCUUACGAGUAGGGCUACACACGUGCUACAAUGGCGCAUACAAAGAGAAGCGACCUCGCGAGAGCAAGCGGACCUCAUAAAGUGCGUCGUAGUCCGGAUUGGAGUCUGCAACUCGACUCCAUGAAGUCGGAAUCGCUAGUAAUCGUAGAUCAGAAUGCUACGGUGAAUACGUUCCCGGGCCUUGUACACACCGCCCGUCACACCAUGGGAGUGGGUUGCAAAAGAAGUAGGUAGCUUAACCUUCGGGAGGGCGCUUACCACUUUGUGAUUCAUGACUGGGGUGAAGUCGUAACAAGGUAACCGUAGGGGAACCUGCGGUUGGAUCACCUCCUUACCUUAAAGAA
rnacentral:rRNA from 1 species